CCUAAAGCGUCCGUAGCCGGCCGGUCAAGUUCGUCGGGAAAUCUGCCCGCUUAACGGGCAGGCGUCCGGCGAAAACUGAUCGGCUUGGGGCCAGAAGACCUGAGGGGUACGUCCGGGGUAGGAGUGAAAUCCCGUAAUCCUGGACGGACCACCGGUGGCGAAAGCGCCUCAGGAAGAUGGACCCGACGGUGAGGGACGAAAGCUAGGGUCUCGAACCGGAUUAGAUACCCGGGUAGUCCUAGCCGUAAACGAUGCUCACUAGGUGUGGCGCAGGCUACGAGCCUGCGCUGUGCCGUAGGGAAGCCGUGAAGUGAGCCGCCUGGGAAGUACGUCCGCAAGGAUGAAACUUAAAGGAAUUGGCGGGGGAGCACUACAACCGGAGGAGCCUGCGGUUUAAUUGGACUCAACGCCGGACAUCUCACCAGCACCGACAGUAGUUGUGACGGUCAGGUUGAUGACCUUACCCGAGCUACUGAGAGGAGGUGCAUGGCCGCCGUCAGCUCGUACCGUGAGGCGUCCUGUUAAGUCAGGCAACGAGCGAGACCCGCACUCCUAGUUGCCAGCAGCAUCUCGCGAUGGCUGGGUACACUAGGAGGACUGCCGCUGCCAAAGCGGAGGAAGGAACGGGCAACGGUAGGUCAGUAUGCCCCGAAUGUGCUGGGCAACACGCGGGCUACAAUGGCCGGGACAAUGGGAAGCCACCCCGAGAGGGGGCGCUAAUCUCCCAAACCCGGUCGUAGUUCGGAUUGCGGGCUGCAACUCGCCCGCAUGAAG
rnacentral:rRNA from 1 species